rnacentral:rRNA from 1 species
UCUUGCACAAUGGGGGCAACCCUGAUGCAGCGACGCCGCGUGAGCGAUGAAGCCCUUCGGGGCGUAAAGCUCUUUCGACCGGAACGAUAAUGACGGUACCGGGAGAAGAAGCUGCGGCUAACUACGUGCCAGCAGCCGCGGUAAUACGUAGGCAGCAAGCGUUGUUCGGAGUUACUGGGCGUAAAGAGUGCGUAGGCGGUUUUCUAAGUUCGGUGUGAAAUCUCCCGGCUUAACUGGGAGGGUGCGCCGAAGACUGGGAAGCUGGAGUGUGGGAAAGGCAGGCGGAAUUCCUGGUGUAGCGGUGAAAUGCGUAGAUAUCAGGAGGAACACCAGCGGUGUAGACGGCUUGCUAGACCAUAACUGACGCUGAGGCACGGAAGCGUGGGUA